UACGUAGGGUGCGAGCGUUGUCCGGAAUUAUUGGGCGUAAAGAGCUCGUAGGCGGUGUGUCGCGUCGGCCGUGCAAACCUGCAGCUUAACUGUGGGCUUGCGGUCGAUACGGGCAUCACUGGAGUUCGGCAGGGGAGACUGGAAUUCCUGGUGUAGCGGUGAAAUGCGCAUAUAUCAGGAGGAACACCGGUGGCGAAGGCGGGUCUCUGGGCCGAUACUGACGCUGAGGAGCGAAAGCGUGGGGAGCGAACAGG
rnacentral:rRNA from 1 species